GUGCCAGCAGCCGCGGUAAUACGGAGGGUGCAAGCGUUAUCCGGAAUCACUGGGUUUAAAGGGUGCGUAGGCGGUUUGAUAAGUCAGUUGUGAAAUUCCCCGGCUUAACCGGGCGGACUGCGAUUGAUACUGUUAGACUUGAAUCAGGUUGAGGUAGGCGGAAUGUGACAUGUAGCGGUGAAAUGCUUAGAUAUGUCAUAGAACACCGAUUGCGAAGGCAGCUUGCUAGACCUGGAUUGACGCUGAGGCACGAAAGCGUGGGGAGCAAACAGGAUUAGAAACCCUCGUAGUCC
rnacentral:rRNA from 1 species